GUGCAUAUGAUGAUCAAGUAACAGUAUGAUUAAAAACAUGAUACUGUAAACGCUUUCUGAUGCA
rnacentral:snoRNA from 1 species